rnacentral:rRNA from 1 species
GACGUAGGUGGCGAACGUUAUCCGGAAUUAUUGGGCGUAAAGAGUGCGUAGGCGGUCCUGUAAGUUUGGUGUGAAAUCUCCCGGCUCAACUGGGAGGGUGCGCCGAAGACUGCAGGGCUUGAGUAUGGGAGAGGUAAGCGGAAUUCCUGGUGUAGCGGUGAAAUGCGUAGAUAUCAGGAGGAACACCUGUGGUGUAGACAGCUUACUGGACCAUAACUGACGCUGAGGCACGAAAGCGUGGGUAGCAAACAGG